UGGGAUAUGGUGUAAAGGCUAACAUUAGCGCCUCUCGUGGAAGAUGAACUGUGCUUGCCGCGCUAGCUCGGGGUUCAAUUCCCUGUAUCCGAA